AGCGAAUCCCACCCACAGAUCCCCCGCCGUGCUCGAGCGCGAGCGCCUCCUCGCUCCCUCAUCCAAGAAGCAGGCACGAGCAGGCGCCCCUCUCCCGCAGCUCGAACCUGAGCGAGUCGAUCGAGCGCCUCCUCGCACCCUCGUCCAUGAAGGAGGCAGCUCUCAAGGGCCCUUUUUCCCCGCAGCGAACCCAGUGGGUCAAGCCAAACCUCCCGCCGGCGAUCUGCAGUAGCACCCCGCUGGAUGCAGCAACUCCAGCACAACAAUGGCGCCGCCCAUGGAUCUCAGAACUGCCGCUGUCAUGCCCGCAUCAUUCGGAACCUUCACCGACACCCGCCGUCGCGAUCCUGCAUUUGCGUGUCAGCACCACAACAAUGGUGCCGCCCAGAUCUCAGAACUCCCGUCGGCAUGCCCGCGUCAUUCGUCGGAAUCUUCACCGACACCCGCCGUCGCGAUUCUGCAUGUGCGUGUCAGCAGGAGCAUCUCCCGCAUUAGCCUCAACUGCCUCUCGUCGUCUCCUUCUCUUUUGAGUCACAGGCCGGCGGCGAGCUCGUGGAGGCAUGGAGGCAUGGAGGCCCGGCAGCCAUGGCUUGCUGCGAAGGAGAGAGAGAGAGAGAGGGAGGUGAGAGAUAGAACUGGAGGGCGAGGAGGGAAGGAGAGGAGGAGGCCGGCGCCGACGACCUCGUGGCUCUUGGCGACGCCAAGCCACGCCUGGCCCUCUGCCGGAGCCGGAGCGCCGCGGCGUCUCGCCCCAAGAGAGCAAGCCGGCCGCCUUAUCGCCCUCCGUCGCGACGCUUCAUCCCGUCAAGGCCAGCUCCGGAGGCCGGCGCCGACGAACUCGUGCCGCGGCAAGCGUGCCGGCGGCGCCUGCCCGUCUGUGGAGGCCGGCAGUGGAUAAGUGGCCGUGGUGGCCGUGGUGGCAGGGUUCUUUUUGCAAAAUACGAAACGUUAUCUCACCAGGACAAACUUUAAAUUGGACUGCGGGUUGAAUAUUAAGAAAUAGAGGGACUUUUUCGUAAAAACGCCGACGACGUACGGGCAGAAGCACUCCGUGCUUUAUUAGUAGGGAAAGAUUAAUUCCGAUGCAUGGUUAUUUAAAUAUGAGCAAUGCAAGAAAAUGG
rnacentral:rRNA from 1 species